GAUGAACGCUGGCGGCGUGCCUAAUACAUGCAAGUCGAGCGAACAGACGAGGAGCUUGCUCCUCUGACGUUAGCGGCGGACGGGUGAGUAACACGUGGAUAACCUACCUAUAAGACUGGGAUAACUUCGGGAAACCGGAGCUAAUACCGGAUAAUAUAUUGAAUCGCAUGGUUCAAUAGUGAAAGACGGUUUUGCUGUCACUUAUAGAUGGAUUCGCGCCGCAUUAGCUAGUUGGUAAGGUAACGGCUUACCAAGGCAACGAUGCGUAGCCGACCUGAGAGGGUGAUCGGCCACACUGGAACUGAGACACGGUCCAGACUCCUACGGGAGGCAGCAGUAGGGAAUCUUCCGCAAUGGGCGAAAGCCUGACGGAGCAACGCCGCGUGAGUGAUGAAGGUCUUCGGAUCGUAAAACUCUGUUAUUAGGGAAGAACAAAUGUGUAAGUAACUAUGCACGUCUUGACGGUACCUAAUCAGAAAGCCACGGCUAACUACGUGCCAGCAGCCGCGGUAAUACGUAGGUGGCAAGCGCUAUCCGGAAUUAUUGGGCGGUAAGCGCGCGUAGGCGGUUUUUUAAGUCUGAUGUGAAAGCCCACGGCUCACCCGUGGAGGGGUCUUGGAAACUGGAAAACUUGAGUGCAAAAGAGGAAAGUGUCCUUCCGUGUGGAGGGGUGGCGUGCACAGAUAUAGGGACGCACCCCGGGGGGCGAGAGCUUCUUGCGGGUCUCGGACUGACACUGAUGUGCCGCGGCGAGCAGAUCAGACUAGAUUAGCUGCCCUGCCACGCCACACACAAAAAGUAGCAGUGCGUUAGGGUGGGGCCGCCCCCCCCCGUUGCUGCUGCAGCUAACUCCACACCUCCUCCGGCGGGGGACCACGACCGGUGAGUCGAAACUCGUGAGAGUUGCCCGCGACCCCCACGGGCCGUGUGGUUUGUUUCUUAAAUCGCAGCAACACUUACAACCUCAUGACAUCCUCUCACCCUCCCUAAUCUACAGGAUUCCCCUUCUUCCCCAUGAGGGGCCAGAGGGGCAUGUCGGGCAUCGUCUCCUGUCGUGAGAUGUCGUGAUAUGUCGGGCCAAGACCGCCACCCUGCGUCUACCUGACGCCCAUUCGCCGGCCUCUCCUCGGGGACUGCCCGGUGACACUGCAGGAGACAGAGGGGAUGAUGUCGCAUCAUCACGCCCCAUCCUGAUGCUUCUUACGACUUGCUGCUAUGCACGUUCCACAAGGG
rnacentral:rRNA from 1 species